rnacentral:lncRNA from 1 species
CCCCCUCACUUCCCCCAGACAACCCCUCACUUCCCCCAGACAACCCCCCCUCACUUCCCCCAGACAACCCCCUCACUUCCCCCAGACAAUCCCACCCCCCAAAAUGUGUGUGCGUGCCUGUUUGGUUUGCGUGCGGUGUGUGUGUGUGUGUGUGUGUGUGUGUGUGUGUGUGUGUGUGUUAUGCAGCGCGGGGGCUGAAGAAGGGCAGGGCUCUGAUGUAGAGGUCCAGUCUCGUAGAGAAGAUGUCAGAGGACAGCUGCUCCCCCAGAACACACAGAGGAUUCUUCACUAUGUACUCUACAUACAGCUGGAAUAGAGAGACAGAGGUUAUAACACACAGAGGAUUCUUCACUAUGUACUCUACAUACAGUGAGAGUGGAAGAGAGAGGAGAGAGAUACUGGGUUACUUACCGUGCUGUAUAUCUGGUGCAGUAUAUCUCUUACCCCCCCAUGCUUACCGUGCUGUAUAUCUGGUGCAGUAUAUCUGGUGCAGUAUAUCUCUUACCGUGCUGUAUAUCUGGUGCAGUAUAUCUCUCACCGUGCUGUAUAUCUGGUGCAGUAUAUCUCUAGCCGUGCUGUAUAUCUGGUGCAGUAUAUCUCUAGCCGUGCUGUAUAUCUGGUGCAGUAUAUCUCUAGCCGUGCUGUAUAUCUGGUGCAGUAUAUCUCUAGCCGUGCUGUAUAUCUGGUGCAGUAUAUCUCUAGCCGUGCUGUAUAUCUGGUGCAGUAUAUCUCUUACCGUGCUGUAUAUCUCUUACCCCCCCAUGCUUACCGUGCUGUAUAUCUGGUGCAGUAUAUCUCUCACCGUGCUGUAUAUCUGGUGCAGUAUAUCUCUCACCGUGCUGUAUAUCUGGUGCAGUAUAUCUGGUGCUGUAUAUCUGGUGCUGUAUAUCUGGUGCUGUAUAUCUCUCACCGUGCUGUAUAUCUGGUGCAGUAUAUCUGGUGCAGUAUAUCUCUAGCCGUGCUGUAUAUCUGGUGCAGUAUAUCUCUUACCGUGCUGUAUAUCUGGUGCAGUAUAUCUCUCACCGUGCUGUAUAUCUGGUGCAGUAUAUCUCUCACCGUGCUGUAUAUCUGGUGCAGUAUAUCUCUUACCGUGCUGUAUAUCUGGUGCAGUAUAUCUCUAGCCGUGCUGUAUAUCUGGUGCAGUAUAUCUCUAGCCGUGCUGUAUAUCUGGUGCAGUAUAUCUCUAGCCGUGCUGUAUAUCUGGUGCAGUAUAUCUCUUAGCGUGCUGUAUAUCUGGUGCAGUAUAUCUCUAGCCGUGCUGUAUAUCUGGUGCAGUAUAUCUCUAGCCGUGCUGUAUAUCUGGUGCAGUAUAUCUCUCACCGUGCUGUAUAUCUGGUGCAGUAUAUCUCUAGCCGUGCUGUAUAUCUGGUGCAGUAUAUCUCUCACCGUGCUGUAUAUCUGGUGCAGUAUAUCUCUUACCGUGCUGUAUAUCUGGUGCAGUAUAUCUCUUACCGUGCUGUAUAUCUGGUGCAGUACAUCUCUUACCAUGCUGUAUAUCUGGUGCAGUACAUCUCUUACCGUGCUGUAUAUCUGGUGCAGUACAUCUCUUACCGUGCUGUAUAUCUGGUGCAGUAUAUCUCUUACCGUGCUGUAUAUCUGGUGCAGUAUAUCUCUUACCGUGCUGUAUAUCUGGUGCAGUAUAUCUCUAGCCGUGCUGUAUAUCUGGUGCAGUAUAUCUCUUACCGUGCUGUAUAUCUGGUGCAGUAUAUCUGGUGCAGUAUAUCUCUUACCGUGCUGUAUAUCUGGUGCAGUAUAUCUCUCACCGUGCUGUAUAUCUGGUGCAGUAUAUCUCUAGCCGUGCUGUAUAUCUGGUGCAGUAUAUCUCUCACCGUGCUGUAUAUCUGGUGCAGUAUAUCUCUAGCCGUGCUGUAUAUCUGGUGCAGUAUAUCUCUUACCGUGCUGUAUAUCUGGUGCAGUAUAUCUCUCACCGUGCUGUAUAUCUGGUGCAGUAUAUCUCUUACCGUGCUGUAUAUCUGGUGCAGUAUAUCUCUAGCGUUGGGAACUCCCAGGUCUGUGUUCAUUAUGAUCUUGAUGCCAGUAGCUGUCUCGUAGUAGUGGAGUUUAUACUUGCUGGUCUGAAAGGUCAGGAAACCAUCCUUCCUGUGGAGGGGUUAAGGGUAAACGACAGCGUGAAGGAAGCUGCACAGGCUACUAAACCGUCGUACGACGACUCAGAGAAAAUCUUCAGACUUCCAAUAGUUGAAUACAUGAUUUAAGAGGAUGACCAUUCAAGACUAAUGUUAACACACACCACCCACCUACCUACCCACCCAUACCACCCACACCACCUACCCACCCAUACCACCUACCUACCUACCCAUACCACCCACACCACCCAUACCACCUACCCACACCACCUACCUACCCAUACCACCCAUACUCC